rnacentral:rRNA from 1 species
AUGUAUAAAUGGAUUUGGACAUUGAAUUGGUCGUUCCUAUCUUCGUUUUUCCCCCUUUUUUUGCAUUUGCAGGUGAGUAGGGACGUUGACCUGGCCCACGGCGGCGGCAGCAUCGGCCUCAUAGGCCUCAUCGCGCAGACGGUGCUCGACGGCGGCCGCAUUGUCGUCGGGGUGAUUCUCAGGGCUCUCAUGCCUAUCGAGAUAUUAGGUGAGAGUGUGGGAGAAGUGAAGGUUGUAUCUGACAUGCAAGGGAGGAAAGCAGAGAUGGCCCGAUGAUCUGAAGCAUUCAUCGCUCUUCCAGGGUGGUACGGAACCAUGGAGGAGCUGUUGGAGAUGAUGACAUGGUCCCAACUCAGAAUUCACAAGAAACCUGACUUCCUGCUAAAUGAUGAUGGUUAGUAUGAUCCCCUGCUUGCAUUGUUUGACAAAGGGGUCGGAGAGGGCUUCAUCAACCCAGAUUGUACAGACAUACUUGUCUCGGCGCCAACCGCCACUGAAUUGUUGACAAAGAUGGAGUAAUACACUUGGUCGCACCAGGAGGUUUCCCGAGCAAAGAGUUGGGAGAUCUCAGAGUUUGGUUACACAAAAGCACCACUGACAAAUGGAUGA